AGGCUUUGAUCCUGGCUCAGGAUGAACGCUGGCGGCGUGCUUAACACAUGCAAGUCGAACGAACCUUCGGGUUAGUGGCGGACGGGUGAGUAACGCGUGAGAAUCUGCCCUCAGGAGGGGGAUAACGGCUGGAAACGGCCGCUAAUACCCCAUAUGCCGAGAGGUGAAACGAAUUUCGCCUGAGGAUGAGCUCGCGUCUGAUUAGCUGGUUGGUGGGGUAAAGGCCUACCAAGGCGACGAUCAGUAGCUGGUCUGAGAGGAUGAUCAGCCACACUGGGACUGAGACACGGCCCAGACUCCUACGGGAGGCAGCAGUGGGGAAUUUUCCGCAAUGGGCGAAAGCCUGACGGAGCAACGCCGCGUGAGGGAUGAAGGCCUCUGGGCUGUAAACCUCUUUUCUCAAGGAAGAAGAUCUGACGGUACUUGAGGAAUAAGCCACGGGUAUAUCCGUAG
rnacentral:rRNA from 1 species